rnacentral:rRNA from 1 species
AACGAACGCUGGCGGCAUGCCUAACACAUGCAAGUCGAACGAGACCUUCGGGUCUAGUGGCGCACGGGUGCGUAACGCGUGGGAAUCUGCCCUUGGGUUCGGAAUAACAGUUGGAAACGACUGCUAAUACCGGAUGAUGACGUAAGUCCAAAGAUUUAUCGCCCAAGGAUGAGCCCGCGUAGGAUUAGCUAGUUGGUGAGGUAAAGGCUCACCAAGGCGACGAUCCUUAGCUGGUCUGAGAGGAUGAUCAGCCACACUGGGACUGAGACACGGCCCAGACUCCUACGGGAGGCAGCAGGGGGGAAUAUUGGACAAUGGGCGAAAGCCUGAUCCAGCAAUGCCGCGUGAGUGAUGAAGGCCUUAGGGUUGUAAGCUCUUUUACCCGGGAUGAUAAUGACAGUACCGGGAGAAUAAGCACCGGCUAACUCCGUG